rnacentral:rRNA from 1 species
AACUAACGGCUGGGCGGCGUGCCUAACACAUGCAAGUCGUACGAGAAAGUUGGCUUCGGCCGAUGAGUAAAGUGGCGCACGGGUGAGUAAUGCGUGGAUAAUCUGCCCUUUAGUUGGGAAUAACGUACCGAAAGGUGCGCUAAUACCUGAUAAUACUGCAUAACUACUGUUGUGUAGUCAAAGAAGGCCUCUGUUUACAAGCUUUUGCUGAAGGAUGAGUCCGCGUACCAUUAGCUGGUUGGUGGGGUAAUGGCCUACCAAGGCUACGAUGGUUAGCUGGUCUGAGAGGAUGAUCAGCCACACUGGAACUGAGACACGGUCCAGACUCCUACGGGAGGCAGCAGUGAGGAAUAUUGCGCAAUGGGGGCAACCCUGACGCAGCAACGCCGCGUGAGUGAGGAAGGUUUUCGGACCGUAAAGCUCUGUCGAGCGGGAAGAAAUGUAUCAUGGCUAAUAUCCAUGAUACUUGACGGUACGCUAAAG